rnacentral:misc_RNA from 1 species
AUCUUUAAUUUUAUAUUUAUAAUAAAAAAUAUACAUUCAAAGUGUGGGUUUUAAAUACAAGUGAUCGCAGAACCUCGCUAACGCUCGGUUCGCCAAAUCAGUAAUGAUCCUUCCGCAGGUUCACCUACGGAAA